rnacentral:rRNA from 1 species
GUGGGGAAUAUUGGACAAUGGGCGCAAGCCUGAUCCAGCCAUGCCGCGUGAGUGAUGAAGGCCUUAGGGUUGUAAAGCUCUUUCAGUGGGGACGAUAAUGACGGUACCCACAGAAGAAGCCCCGGCUAACUUCGUGCCAGCAGCCGCGGUAAUACGAAGGGGGCUAGCGUUGUUCGGAUUUACUGGGCGUAAAGCGCACGUAGGCGGAUCGUUAAGUCGGGGGUGAAAUCCUGGAGCUCAACUCCAGAACUGCCUUCGAUACUGGCGAUCUUGAGUGCGGAAGAGGUGAGUGGAACUCCUAGUGUAGAGGUGGAAUUCGUAGAUAUUAGGAAGAACACCAGUGGCGAAGGCGGCUCACUGGUCCGGUACUGACGCUGAGGUGCGAAAGCGUGGGGAGCAAACAGGAUUAGAAACCCGGGUAGUCC